rnacentral:rRNA from 1 species
GCAACGCGCAGAACCUUACCAGCCCUUGACAUCCCGGUCGCGGUUUCCAGAGAUGGAUUCCUUCAGUUCGGCUGGACCGGUGACAGGUGCUGCAUGGCUGUCGUCAGCUCGUGUCGUGAGAUGUUGGGGUAAGUCCCGCAACGAGCGCAACCCUCGUCCUUAGUUGCCACCAUUUAGUUGGGCACUCUAAGGAAACUGCCGGUGCUAAGCCGGAGGAAGGUGGGGAUGACGUCAAGUCAGCAUGCCCCUUACACCCUGGGCUACACACGUGCUACAAUGGGUGAGACAAUGAGAUGCAAAUCUGCGAAGACAAGCUAAUCUAUAAACUCAUUCUAAGUUCGGAUUGUAGGCUGCAACUCGCCUGCAUGAAGUUGGAAUCGCUAGUAAUCGCUGGUCAGCUAUACAGCGGUGAAUUCGUUCCCGGGCCUUGUACACACCGCCCGUCACACCAUGGAAGCUGGUU